CAGUAGCCGCGGUAAUACGUAGGGUGCAAGCGUUAAUCGGAAUUACUGGGCGUAAAGCGUGCGCAGGCGGUUUGUUAAGACAGGUGUGAAAUCCCCGGGCUCAACCUGGGAACUGCAUUUGUGACUGGCAAGCUAGAGUCUGGCAGAGGGGGGUGGAAUUCCGCGUGUAGCAGUGAAAUGCGUAGAUAUGCGGAGGAACACCGAUGGCGAAGGCAGCCCCCUGGGCCAACACUGACGCUCAUGCACGAAAGCGUGGGGAGCAAACAGGAUUAGAUACCCCCGUAGUCCCUGUCUCUUAUAC
rnacentral:rRNA from 1 species